UGGAGGACUGAGAAGGUUAAUCAGCUUGUGCUGUGCUGUUCUAACUGGUUAUAACCUCCAAGACUAACAUACAAACCACAAUUUUAUUUGGCUCUGCUACAAGCAGAGCUGAUGUGUGUUUGUGAACAAUAU